rnacentral:rRNA from 1 species
UACGUAGGAGACGAGCGUUGUCCGGAGUUACUGGGCGUAAAGGGUGCGCAGGUGGCUGCGCGCGUGGGGGGUGAAAUCGCCCGGCUUAACUGGGCGGGGGCCUUCCAGACGGCGUGGCUUGAGCAGCGGAGGGGGACGUGGAAUUCCGGGUGGAGCGGUGAAAUGCGUAGAGAUCCGGAGGAACACCGACGGCGAAGGCAGCGCCCUGGGCGAGACCUGACGCUCAGGCACGAAAGCUGGGGGAGCAAACAGG